GUAGGGGUGCAAGCGUUAAUCGGAAUUACUGGGCGUAAAGCGUGCGCAGGGCGGUUUUGUAAGUCUGUCGUGAAAGCCCCGGGGCUUAACCUGGGAAUUGCGAUGGAGACUGCAAGGCUUGAAUCUGGCAGAGGGGGGUAGAAUUCCACGUGUAGCAGUGAAAUGCGUAGAGAUGUGGAGGAACACCGAUGGCGAAGGCAGACCCCCUGGGUCAAGAUUGACGCUCACGCACGAAAGCGUGGGGAGCAAACAGGAUUAGAUACCCUGGUAGUCCACGCCCUAAACGAUGUCUACUAGUUGUCGGGUCUUAAUUGACUUGGUAACGCAGCUAACGCGUGAAGUAGACCGCCUGGGGAGUACGGUCGCAAGAUUA
rnacentral:rRNA from 1 species